rnacentral:rRNA from 1 species
AUCAGGUAGGGAUACCCGCUGAACUUAAGCAUAUCAAUAAGCGGAGGAAAAGAAACCAACAGGGAUUGCUCUAGUAACGGCGAGUGAAGCAGCAAUAGCUCAAAUUUGAAAUCUGGCGUCUUCGACGUCCGAGUUGUAAUUUGUAGAGGAUGCUUCUGAGUGGCCACCGACCUAAGUUCCUUGGAACAGGACGUCAUAGAGGGUGAGAAUCCCGUAUGCGGUCGGAAAGGCGCUCUAUACGUAGCUCCUUCGACGAGUCGAGUUGUUUGGGAAUGCAGCUCUAAAUGGGAGGUAAAUUUCUUCUAAAGCUAAAUAUUGGCCAGAGACCGAUAGCGCACAAGUAGAGUGAUCGAAAGAUGAAAAGCACUUUGGAAAGAGAGUUAAAAAGCACGUGAAAUUGUUAAAAGGGAAGGGAUUGCAACCAGACUUG